rnacentral:rRNA from 1 species
UACGUAGGGAGCGAGCGUUGUCCGGAAUCAUUGGGCGUAAAGAGCAUGUAGGUGGAUCAAUUAGUCUGCUGUGAAAGUCAAAGGCUCAACCUUUGAAAGCCGGUGGAUACUGUUGAUCUAGAGUACGGAAGAGGCGAGUGGAAUUCCUGGUGUAGCGGUGGAAUGCGCAGAUAUCAGGAGGAACACCAAUAGCGAAGGCAGCUCGCUGGGACGUUACUGACACUGAGAUGCGAAAGCGUGGGGGAGCAAACAGG